rnacentral:lncRNA from 1 species
AGAAAUACAGAAUACGGCGGGCUAUCUAUUACAAAAACAAAGAAGGGAAGGAACAAUUCCGAUGUUAGUUCAGUGCCCAGAGCGAGUCCUAUAUUUAUGGAAACAAGUGUCAACGCGCGGGAAAGAAAUCAAGAAAGAAAUCAAGUAGAGAAACGGAGCCCUGCCCUAGGAAGGAAAUCAAGAAAUACAGAAAUCAAUCCAGUGUUGCUAAUGUUGCUAGGGUUUAAAGAGAAUCACCAGUGCCAAAGUAAGCUGCAGUGAGAGUAAAGUCAUAGCUGCCCCAGUGCCCG